UGUCUACAACAUAGCGUCAAUGCAUUGGAUCCCAUUAGAACUCUGCAGUUAAGCGUGCUCAUGCUAGAGUUGUACUGGGAUGGGUGACUACCUGGGAAGUCCUAGUAUUUUAGAUGC
rnacentral:rRNA from 1 species